AGUGAACGCUGGCGGUAGGCCUAACACAUGCAAGUCGAACGGCAGCACAGUAAGAGCUUGCUCUUACGGGUGGCGAGUGGCGGACGGGUGAGGAAUACAUCGGAAUCUACUUUUUCGUGGGGGAUAACGUAGGGAAACUUACGCUAAUACCGCAUACGACCUACGGGUGAAAGCAGGGGAUCUUCGGACCUUGCGUGAUUGAAUGAGCUGAUGUCGGAUUAGCUAGUUGGCGGGGUAAAGGCCCACCAAGGCGACGAUCCGUAGCUGGUCUGAGAGGAUGAUGAGGCACACUGGAACUGAGACACGGUCCAGACUCCUACGGGCGGCAGCAGUGGGGAAUAUUGGACGAUGGGCGCAAGCCUGAUCCAGCCAUACCGCGUGGGUGAAGAAGGCCUUCGGGUUGUAAAGCCCUUUUGUUGGGAAAGACAAGCAGCAGGUUAAUACCCCGCUGUUCUGACGGUACCCAAAGAAUAAGCACCGGCUAACUUCGUG
rnacentral:rRNA from 1 species